UACAGAGGUCCCAAGCGUUGUUCGGAUUUACUGGGCGUAAAGGGUGCGUAGGCGGUCGGGUAAGUCCCAUGUGAAAUCUCCAAGCUCAACUUGGAAAUGGCAUGGGAUACUAUUCGGCUAGAGGAUUGGAGGGGGGACUGGAAUUCCCGGUGUAGCAGUGAAAUGCGUAGAUAUCGGGAGGAACACCAGUGGCGAAGGCGAGUCCCUGGACAAUUCCUGACGCUCAGGCACGAAAGCUAGGGGAGCAAACAGG
rnacentral:rRNA from 1 species